rnacentral:rRNA from 1 species
GAUGAACGCUAGCGGAAGGCUUAAUACAUGCAAGUCGAGCGGUAGGUGGCUUCGGCCAUUGAGAGCGGCGCACGGGUGAGUAACGCGUACAUGACCUGCCUGUCAGAAGGGGAUAGCCCUGGGAAACUGGGAUUAAUACCCUAUGGUAUUGAUAUUAUGAAUGAUAUCAAUUAAAGUUGAGGCGCUGACAGAUGGAUGUGCGUCUGAUUAGCUAGUUGGUAGGGUAACGGCCUACCAAGGCGACGAUCAGUAGGGGGCGUGAGAGCGUGGUCCCCCACACGGGUACUGAGACACGGACCCGACUCCUACGGGAGGCAGCAGUAAGGAAUAUUGGUCAAUGGAGGGAACUCUGAACCAGCCAUGCCGCGUGAAGGAAGAAGGCGCUACGCGUUGUAAACUUCUUUUGGGUGGGACGAAAAUAAUCCAUUUAUGGAUAGCUGACGGUACCAUCAGAAUAAGCACCGGCUAACUCCGUGCCAGCAGCCGCGGUAAU